UUUGACGACGAGUGCGUGACCGCUUACGAAACCUUCAAAUGCGGCCAGGAGCAAGCCCCUGAUAUUGUCUCGAAAAUCGUUUCAAACAAUUUCGACAACGGAACAAUCCUGUCUCCUCCGACUCCGUGCCUUCCGUAUCGCCACUCGUGUUGGCUCACCAAUGGAUUUCCCUGCGUCAAAAAUCAAACGGCUAUUGAUGCACUGCUCACUUUGGGAAAAGAUGAUUUUGGAACUGUGGUGAAAGCGUCAGACAAUAUUAAGAGGUACUACGUCAGAAACUCUGAUUCUUCAGG